rnacentral:rRNA from 1 species
AUACGGAGGGUGCAAGCGUUAUUCGGAAUCACUGGGCGUAAAGGACGCGUAGGCGGGUUGGCAAGUCAGAUGUGAAAUCCUACAGCUUAACUGUAGAACUGCAUUUGAAACUGCUAACCUAGAGUAUGGGAGGGGGAGAUGGAAUUAGUGGUGUAGGGGUAAAAUCCGUAGAUAUCAAUAGGAAUACCGACAGCGAAGGCGAUCUCCUGGAACAUAACUGACGCUAAGGCGUGAAAGCGUGGGGAGCAAACAGGAUUAGAAACCCCAGUAGUCC